rnacentral:rRNA from 1 species
UACGAAGGGGGCUAGCGUUGCUCGGAAUCACCGGGCGUAAAGCGCACGUAGGCGGAUCUUUAAGUCAGGGGUGAAAUCCCAAGGCUCAACCUUGGAACUGCCUUUGAUACUGGGGAUCUCGAGUCCGGAAGAGGUGAGUGGAACUGCGAGUGUAGAGGUGAAAUUCGUAGAUAUUCGCAAGAACACCAGUGGCGAAGGCGGCUCACUGGUCCGGUACUGACGCUGAGGUGCGAAAGCGUGGGGAGCAAACAGG